GAGUUGAGCUGAGUUGUGGUAGAAGUGACCUGCUUAGAAGGAUGAAGUAUGUGAACUACUUUACAUGGAAGAAUAUCUAGAUCUUGUAGUUUCUGCAGAGUCUGAGGUUAACAAGAGCUGAGACGUUGAACUACGUCGGUGUUUCUAAAUUUAUUCAGCUGACAUAGUCUAAAAGUAAAAAAAACCCAACCAAACAAAAAACAACCCAAAAGAAAAUAAAACAGCUCAUAAAUUUUAUCCUCAAUUCUAAAAUCUCCACACCCCCAAAUCAAGUAUUAUUUAGUGUCAAUAUUCAUAAUAGACUGCAGAAUAUUGUCCUAGAUCCCACUGAGAGUUACUUCAUAUAUGGCAAACAUAUUACCUUCCUAAAAUAUGAAAAGCUCUGAAAUACAUUUGACUGCAAAGGUUUUGCAUAAGGGGUUAUGACCUGCAAUACAAAUUCUGAUGAUAGCAAAGCUAUGGCCACUGCUAGCUUGGGACUCACCCAGCCCUCUCUAGGGCAUCACAUCCUCGAAAAGCCCUUAUGUGACUAUGGAUGAGCAUAAUCAGUUUGAGUCAAGCAGAACAGAUCGGGGGAAUUUCUUCUAAAUCAGUCCUCCUCCCAUUUUGCUAUGUGUCUAGAUCUGCUAAGGAUCUUGUGAAAGUAUACAUUUUGCCUCAAUAGUUCUAAAAAAAAAAUUUGGAGAGUCUGUGCUUCUGUAAACCUCCAGGUGAUGCCUACAUUGCUGGAACUGUCCUAAAAUUCUGGACAGGCCUCAGACAAAACUGCAAAGGCUGUGAUUGAUAAGCGAUGACAAUGUAGUGGCCCUCAGGGAGAGUGGCCCCUUGCCCCUGGCUGGAGCUUGCUAAAUACUGUCGCCUAUUCAGAACUUGCCUCAUCACUGACUUUUUUAGAUCUAUCCUCCCUUUCUGGGAAUGAAGAGAGAGAAAGCAAGAGCUUCUUCCCAGACGGUUCAUCCCACCCCUCUGAUCCCCACCUUGGCGGGGCUCCAAGGAGUCUCAUGACUCUGCUCAUCCAGUCCCAAGGUACUGCUUAGGCGAGGUGCUUUUCCAGUUGGCUGACUUCAGCCCCCCCACAAGCAUGAAGUCAGUUAGUUCAACUCUCAAAUUCCUGAGAUGCCUCUCUAUCUCUCUUGGGUAUCUCUCCAGAAAAUUUUCCACUGUUUGCAAAGGACUCGUUGGCUCUGACCACCCACAGACGCUACAAUGAUGCGUUUACUUACUAGACGAUCAGUGACCCAGAAAAAGGCCAUGGCUUGUUUUGUGUUUAUUUCACUGUUUGCAAUUCCUUGGCUGAUCCCUUACCCAUCUCACCUGCUUACCUAUUCAAGUUUUGGAUUCCCUGGCUGCAGAAAACUCAAACUUACCUUAGUAAGUCAAUUUGCUUUCUAUAAAGGUGAAGUAUACUAAUUUGAAAAUUCAGAAAAUGCAGAUAGCAAGGAAGAACAUGAUGUCCAUUGCCCAGAGAUAACCAUAGUAACACUGAUCUGGUCUUUAGUCCCACUUUAUGAAACCUGGCUCAUACAGUCUAUACUAUUAUGGAAACUGCUUCCCCGCUCCUUAUGUAAUAUGCAGUGGCCAUUUUUACAUAGAAAAAGAGGGAAACUCUGAGAAAGAGGGAAACUUUGAGAAACCAAGGCUCUCAGAGGAGGAAGGGUCAGAGGUCCUCUGCCUUCCUGUCAAGGCCAGGCUGUGCAUGGGUCCAGGCAGUCACCACAGAGGGGCGUGAGCAGUCCCAGCCCCACACAGAGGCCUGCAAGGGUGAGUGGACUUCACCCCACCAGUGAAAGAACAAGAGUG